rfam:Triticum aestivum genome assembly, contig: Triticum_aestivum_CS42_TGACv1_scaffold_130031_2BL
CAAAUACUCCCUCCGUCCGGAAUUAUUUGUCAUCAAAAUGGAUGAAAAUGGAUGUAUCUAAAACUAAAAUACAUCUAGAUACAUCCAUUUCAAUGGCAAAUAUUUCCGGACGGAGGGAGUAGUAA